GCACUGCUAGUGUAGCGGUUAUCAUCCUCGCUUCCCAAGCGAGGGACCCGCGUUCGACUCGCGGGCAGUGCA
rnacentral:tRNA from 1 species